UCUGGCAGUUUUUAAGUUCAAAAUGACAGGGUACUGUGAACAUGGACUGUUAGAAACUGAUGCUCAGUUCUGGCUGGGGUCUAAGGAAAGAUGGUUUUGGGAGGGAUGAUGAGGGAAUGUUAGGAGGCCCAUUGCAACCAGGUUAAGAAAGGCCGGGGAGGGAUUCUAAGCUUUGCCUUUGCCUCUCUUUAGGCCUUUAUCAUCCUUGGUUGCCAUGAGGUUGAUGGGUGGGCUGGCUGGCAGAGGGGGUCAAGUUUUGCAGCAGCCUUUGAGUCCCACUCAUGUCUCAAAGGGUUCCUUGCUAUGGCAUCUACAAACAAGUGACCACCCAUCUCCACCUGAACACUUUCAGGGAGAACACCUAUCAAUGGGGGUGGUCCACAUCAGCCUGUCUUCACUGUGUCUGUCUUUCCUCAGGGGCUAUGACAACCUUGACUGUGGGGUUGAUCAGCUGCUUCCAUUGAAGGGUACAAACAACCACCACAUGAGUUCAAUUGGGAAAUUUCCCAAUUGGUUCCCUAUUUCCCAAUUGGUUCAAUUGGGAAAAUGUUUGGAGAUGUAAAUGAAAUGGUCACACACUGGUUAUAAAAGUUCCAUUUUGCCAAGAGAUGUAUAUCUACUCUCAAGGGAAACACCGGAAUUAGGAUCCUAUAGUCUAAAAAAAGGCUAAUUGCUUUAUCCACUGUGAAUGUAUGUGUGUGUGUGUGUGUGUGUGUGUGUGUGUGUAUGUGUGCAGAGGUCAGGGGCUGUAUAUAAGCUGCCCCUCCUGCCUGAAAUGCUUUCUCUCCUUACUUCCAGGCUUCGAAACCCCAAGCUUCUUUCCAAGCUCAGGUACCAACUCCUACAUUGUUGCGGUUGCUUUGUCUUGCUUUUUGGAAGAGGACCAAUGACAUCAUGGUUUGAUGUCUUGACUUGUUCCUCAAGUGGACUGAAGUGAGGCAGAGAUGCACAAAGCUGUCAGAAUGUGGAAUAACUAGUGGGGAAAGGUAACCUGGUGAAAGUCAGAGGGGGCUGGGAUUUCAUUUUAGAGGCAAGAAAGCACCACAAAGAAGGGCAGGGAGGUAAUCAUCCUGCUCUUUAGGCAGAGCCGUGGACAAUGGAUGGCAAGGGGAGAGGCCUGGAGGUCACAGAACCAUAAGGUGGUUGAAUUGAGAGAAGAAGGGAAACCACUCACUAAAAGACACAUCUAUAUGCUUUCCAGAAUCACUAAACCAAAGUAAAAUUAGAAAAUCAAAAACUCUCUAAACCAAAUCAAUUAUCCCAUUCCAUUCAUGUUCCUGAUAAGGACUCUAGAGGUCCAUGGAAGAGACUGUGAUACAAAACAUUUUCUGUCGGUGAAAGGCCAAAGGACUUCAUGUGCUGAUGGGAGUCUCAAAGGGUCGUGGGUUGGAGAUGAGUCCAGUGAUAGAGGUCCAUCUGCCUCUGUUUGUUCUUCCUCUGCAAGGACCCCCCAGCUCAAGCACAAUCGAUGCUGGACAUCUCAGUACUGGCUGCUUGGAACAACUCUGUGGGACUGUGGUCCAGAGAUGACAGCAAUUCUUCCACAAAUUUAAUCUUUCCCUUUAACAUUCUCUAAAGCAUACUUCAAAACUUCUUCCUCUCAAAUCACUCCGUGUAUUCUACUUGGUCUCUGCUCUGAAUGUACCUUCUGAGAUCUAGAAAAUAAUUAUCCUUGACCUGUACCUUGUAUCGCAUCCAUGUACUGUCCCAUAUUUUCAACAUAUAUGUUCCCUUGAGGAUACGGCAUUGUCCCAAAGAUAGGAGCACCAAAUUCUGUGAGGAACAGAAGAUGCUUGGAGACCCUAGAGGCAACUGAGAAGGCCACAGGGGGUACCUAUAGGCCGACCCGCAAUUUUAGUUACAGUGUCAUUAUGAGAAGCAGGAAGGAAUAAAGUUGAGUAAAUGAAUAAUAAAAAAGGAGGUGGAUGAGUAAUGUGGCACUGAGAUAACAGACCAGCAGAAGCCCUAGGAUUCCCUGGUACUCAGAAAACAUCAAGACCCCUCCGGUAGGAAGUAGAGAUCUAUGGAGGGCAUCGACCACAAUUGAGAAAAUGGGGAUGGGCUGUGAGAUGCCGCAUAGGAGGAAACCUCACAAUGAGAUCAGACUGAAUAUAAUGAUUUAUGUUAC